ACUGAGAUUACAGGCAUGAGCCAUCGUGCCCCGCCAGAAUACUUCUUACAUGUUGGCUCGGGGCUCCCAAAAGGGCAAAAGUGGAAGCUGCCAGGCCUUCUUAAAGCGUAGGUGCAGAACUAGCACCUUGGCUAUAUUCUUGGUUAAAGCAAGUAGAAGGGCUAGCCCCAAUUCAAGGGGAGGGGACUAUGCCAGGGUCCCUUCCAAUACUGGAAGGCAUGGUUCAUUUCAGCAACCAAUGUAACAUAUUACCACAGAAAGUUUUCCAUCUUUGGUUGGUAGUGGCUUUGAUACUAGUUAUGGCAUUUUAUUUAGUGCAUGCUGCUGGAAAGGUAAAAGAAAAGAUGGCCUCGGAGAUAGGACUGGUGGGGUUGAAGUGAUUGUAUUUAAGAUAUUGGUAACUUUCUGUUAGCUCCAAAGAGCAACCCAGUUUACCUGUAGGUCGGGCCAGAGAGACCCUAGUAGCACUGCAGCUGGGAAACCUGGCCUUUAAUCCUGCCCCCACCAUUUACUAACCCUGUGAGUAUGGGCAAUUUG
rnacentral:lncRNA from 1 species